rnacentral:rRNA from 1 species
AUAUGCUGGAGGAAGGUGGGGAUGACGUCAAGUCCGCAUGGCCCUUAUGGGCUGGGCCACACACGUGCUACAAUGGCAAUGACAAUGGGAAGCAAGGCCGUAAGGCGGAGCGAAUCCGGAAAGAUUGCCUCAGUUCGGAUUGUUCUCUGCAACUCGAGAACAUGAAGUUGGAAUCGCUAGUAAUCGCGGAUCAGCAUGCCGCGGUGAAUAUGUACCCGGGCCCUGUACACACCGCCCGUCACACCCUGGGAGUUGAUUUCGCCCGAAGCAUCAGACCAAUGAUCACCCUAUCUAUAUAUGUUCCACUAGUGUGGCCCACUAUGGUUGGGGUGGUCUUAUUGGCGCAUACCACGGUGGGGUCUUCGACUGGGGUGAAGUCGUAACAAGGUAACCGUACUGGAAGGUGCGGUUGGAUCACCUCCUU